rnacentral:rRNA from 1 species
UUGACGGGGAGCACCACAACGGUGGAGCUUGCGGUUUAAUUGGAUUCAACGCCGGAAAUCUUACCGGGACCGACAGCAAUAUGAAGGCCAGGCUGAAGACUUUGCCGGAUUAGCUGAGAGGUGGUGCAUGGCCGUCGUCAGUUCGUACUGUGAAGCAUCCUGUUAAGUCAGGCAACGAGCGAGACCCACGCCCACAGUUGCCAGCGUACUCUCCGGAGUGACGGGUACACUGUGGGACCGCCGCUGCUAAAGCGGAGGAAGGAAUGGGCAACGGUAGGUCAGUAUGCCCCGAAUAUCCCGGGCUACACGCGAGCUACAAUGGUUGGUACAAUGGGUAUCUACCCCGAAAGGGGACGGGAAUCUCCUAAAACCAAUCUUAGUUCGGAUUGAGGGCUGCAACUCGCCCUCAUGAAGCUGGAAUCCGUAGUAAUCGCGUUUCAACAGAACGCGGUGAAUACGUCCCUGCUCCUU